rnacentral:rRNA from 1 species
UACGAAGGGGGCUAGCGUUGCUCGGAAUCACUGGGCGUAAAGCGCACGUAGGCGGAUUCUUAAGUCAGUGGUGAAAUCCUGCAGCUCAACUGUAGAACCGCCAUUGAUACUGGAAGACUUGAGUACAGACGAGGUAGGCGGAAUUUAUGGUGUAGCGGUGAAAUGCAUAGAUACCAUAAAGAACACCUAUUGCGAAGGCAGCUUACUAGGCUGUAACUGACGCUGAGGCACGAAAGCGUGGGGAUCAAACAGG